rnacentral:rRNA from 1 species
ACAGAGGGUGCAAACGUUGUUCGGAAUUACUGGGCGUAAAGCGCGUGUAGGCGGCUUGGUAAGUCGGGUGUGAAAGCCCUGGGCUCAACCCAGGAAGUGCACUCGAAACUGCCGAGCUGGAGUCCCGGAGAGGAAGGCGGAAUUCUCGGUGUAGAGGUGAAAUGCGUAGAUAUCUGGAGGAACACCGGUGGCGAAGGCGGCAUCCUGGACCGGCAUUGACGCUGAGGCGCGAAAGCCAGGGGAGCAAACGGGA